rnacentral:piRNA from 1 species
UACUUAGCAAAAAGCAAGGACCUCACUCCAU